rnacentral:rRNA from 1 species
AGAGUUUGAUCCUGGCUCAGGACGAACGCUGGCGGCGUGCCUAAUACAUGCAAGUAGAACGCUGAAGAGAGGAGCUUGCUCUUCUUGGAUGAGUUGCGAACGGGUGAGUAACGCGUAGGUAACCUGCCUUGUAGCGGGGGAUAACUAUUGGAAACGAUAGCUAAUACCGCAUAACAAUGGAUGACACAUGUCAUUUAUUUGAAAGGGGCAAUUGCUCCACUACAAGAUGGACCUGCGUUGUAUUAGCUAGUAGGUGAGGUAAUGGCUCACCUAGGCGACGAUACAUAGCCGACCUGAGAGGGUGAUCGGCCACACUGGGACUGAGACACGGCCCAGACUCCUACGGGAGGCAGCAGUAGGGAAUCUUCGGCAAUGGGGGCAACCCUGACCGAGCAACGCCGCGUGAGUGAAGAAGGUUUUCGGAUCGUAAAGCUCUGUUGUAAGUCAAGAACGAGUGUGAGAGUGGAAAGUUCACACUGUGACGGUAGCUUACCAGAAAGGGACGGCUAACUACGUGCCAGCAGCCGCGGUAAUACGUAGGUCCCGAGCGUUGUCCGGAUUUAUUGGGCGUAAAGCGAGCGCAGGCGGUUUGAUAAGUCUGAAGUUAAAGGCUGUGGCUCAACCAUAGUUCGCUUUGGAAACUGUCAAACUUGAGUGCAGAAGGGGAGAGUGGAAUUCCAUGUGUAGCGGUGAAAUGCGUAGAUAUAUGGAGGAACACCGGUGGCGAAAGCGGCUCUCUGGUCUGUAACUGACGCUGAGGCUCGAAAGCGUGGGGAGCGAACAGGAUUAGAUACCCUGGUAGUCCACGCCGUAAACG